AUACGUAGGGGGCGAGCGUUGCCCGGAAUGAUUGGGCGUAAAGGGCGCGUAGGCGGCCCGGUAAGUCUGGAGUGAAAGUCCUGUUUUUAAGAUGGGAAUUGCUUUGGAUACUGUCGGGCUUGAGUGCAGGAGAGGUAAGUGGAAUUCCUAGUGGAGCGGUAAAAUGCGCAGAUAUUAGGAAGAACACCGGUGGCGAAGGCGGCUAUCUGGACAGUAACUGACGCUGAGGCGCGAAAGCGUGGGGAGCAAACAGGAUUAGAUACCCUGGUAGUCCACGCCGUAAACGAUGGGCGCUCGUCGUCGGCGACAGACAGUCGGCGGCCAAGCGAAAGCGAUAAGCGCCCCACCUGGGGAGUACGGUCGCAAGGCUGAAACUCAAAUGAAUUGGCGGGG
rnacentral:rRNA from 1 species